GGGAGUAUCGUAUAUCGGCUAUUAUGUUCGGUUCCAACCCGAAAGAGCAGGGUUCAACUCCUUGUGCUCCCGCCA
rnacentral:tRNA from 1 species